AGUAACGGCGAGUGAAGCGGCAAUAGCUCAAAUUUGAAAUCUGGCGCUUGCGUCCGAGUUGUAAUUUGUAGAGGAUGAUUUUGGUUAGGUACCUUUCGAGUUCCUUGGAACAGGACGCCUUAGAGGGUGAGAGCCCCGUACGAUUGGAUGCCGAGCCUCUGUAAAUCUCCUUCGACGAGUCGAGUAGUUUGGGAAUGCUGCUCUAAAUGGGAGGUAAAUUUCUUCUAAAGCUAAAUACCGGCCAGAGACCGAUAGCGCACAAGUAGAGUGAUCGAAAGAUGAAAAGCACUUUGAAAAGAGGGUUAAAUAGCACGUGAAAUUGUUGAAAGGGAAGGAUUUAUGACCAGACUUUUUCUAGGAGAAUCAUCCGGUGUUCUCACCGGUGCACUUCUUUUAGUUUAGGCCAGCAUCGACUUUCGGCGGUGGAUAAAAGCUUUAGGAAUGUGGCUUCUCUCGGGAAGUGUUAUAGCCUAUUGUAUAAUACACUGCUGGGGGUCGAGGUACGCGCUUCUGCAAGGAUGCUGGCGUAAUGGUUAUCAAUCACCCGUCUUGAAACACGGACCAAGGAGUCGAACAUUUGUGCGAGUGUUUGGGUGUUAAACCCUCACGCGUAAUGAAAGUGAACGGAGGUGAGAGCCCUUACGGGUGCAUCAUCGACCGAUCCUGAUGUUUUCGGAUGGAUUUGAGUAAGAGCAUAAAUGUUCGGACCCGAAAGAUGGUGAACUAUGCGUGGAUAGGGUGAAGCCAGAGGAAACUCUGGUGGAGGCUCGCAGCGGUUCUGACGUGCAAAUCGAUCGUCAAAUCUGCGCAUGGGGGCGAAAGACUAAUCGAACCAUCUAGUAGCUGGUUACC
rnacentral:rRNA from 1 species